rnacentral:rRNA from 1 species
UACAGAGGGGGCAAGCGUUGUUCGGAAUUACUGGGCGUAAAGGGCGCGUAGGCGGCCUUCUAAGUCGAACGUGAAAUCCCCGGGCUCAACCCGGGAACUGCGUCCGAGACUGAAAGGCUCGAAUCCGGGAGAGGGAUGUGGAAUUCCAGGUGUAGCGGUGAAAUGCGUAGAUAUCUGGAGGAACAUCGGUGGCGAAGGCGGCAUCCUGGACCGGUAUUGACGCUGAGGCGCGAAAGCCAGGGAGCAAACGG